AUACGGAGGGUGCAAGCGUUACUCGGAAUCACUGGGCGUAAAGGACGCGUAGGCGGGUUGGCAAGUCAGAUGUGAAAUCCUACAGCUUAACUGUAGAACUACAUUUGAAACUGCUAACCUAGAGUAUGGGAGGGGGAGAUGGAAUUAGUGGUGUAGGGGUAAAAUCCGUAGAUAUCACUAGGAAUACCGAAAGCGAAGACGAUCUCCUGGAACAUGACUGACGCUAAGGCGUGAAAGCGUGGGGAGCAAACAGGAUUAGAAACCCCAGUAGUCC
rnacentral:rRNA from 1 species